rnacentral:rRNA from 1 species
UUGAACGCUGGCGGCAUGCUUUACACAUGCAAGUCGAACGGUAACAGGGUGCUUGCACCGCUGACGAGUGGCGAACGGGUGAGUAAUGCAUCGGAAUGUACCGUGUAAUGGGGGAUAGCUCGGCGAAAGCCGGAUUAAUACCGCAUACGCCCUGAGGGGGAAAGUGGGGGACCGAAAGGCCUCACGUUAUACGAGCAGCCGAUGUCUGAUUAGCUAGUUGGUGAGGUAAAGGCUCACCAAGGCGUCGAUCAGUAGCGGGUCUGAGAGGAUGAUCCGCCACACUGGGACUGAGACACGGCCCAGACUCCUACGGGAGGCAGCAGUGGGGAAUUUUGGACAAUGGGCGCAGGCCUGAUCCAGCCAUGCCGCGUGUCUGAAGAAGGCCUUCGGGUUGUAAAGGACUUUUGUCCGGGAGCAAAUCCUAGUGGUUAAUACCUACUGGGGCUGAGAGUACCGGAAGAAUAAGCACCGGCUAACUACGUG